rnacentral:lncRNA from 1 species
CCAUACGGUUUCUACUUGAGUCUCACUCUAAUCGGAUUCUCCCGGAGAACUCUUUCUCUCUCAACCCGAAUGACCCUGGCCAGGGAUUUGUCUGAGCAAGAACACAUGGGAUAUUCCUCUCAUGACGCCGAGAGUGGAUGAUCCUCUGUCGACACUCAAUAGCCCUCGUAAGGUCGACUACCACUCCCAAUGACCAGCUGUACUAGAUCUGGGACAGCCAAACCUAUAAGUCUGGUAUCAAAGAGUGGAGCACUCAUAUAGGACAUCCUUGGUGUCUCAAGUCUAAGGACCAGAUACACCACUAGGACUACGGAAUCGCUGUCUGACAAUAAGGCAUCAUCAACCAUCCAGCAUUCCGUAAGCGGAUCAAUCAGUGAACUCAUUCUCCAAUGAGCACCUAUACUGUAUCCCUAGUGUCCCUACACGAGCAGCUAUGAGACCAGCUGCAUCCAUCAUAUGGACGGGUAUACAGCACACCAGUCUAUCCGGUUAUCACGAUAUCCCUCUCGAGUAACCUAUGACCGGGAUUAUUUAGGAUAUGUGUUUAAAGGUGAAUCGAUCUCAUUAUCGUGAUCUCAUCACGAUCCGAUUCCCAUUGCACAAAUCCAAGGACAUCACAAUAUAUAUAUGCAUUUAUGCAAUAAUUAUAAAGUGAUAUACGCCAAAAUAUAAUAAGCAAAAAGAUUCUGUAUCAAGUCACACGUGCAAUCACUCACGUGAUUGGCUUGUUGGGCACCUUUGACUAGCACUACGGACGUACUAGGCCACUACGUCGUAGUCCCCAAACGAUACAGGAGAAUCCAAUCCAUUGGACCUGUCUGUCCUCAGUUACCGUGUACCUAUAGUCCCUCAUUCAUCUAAUAUCCCAGAUAUCGUAUAUCGAGUAUGGUGUUGUUAGACCCAUACAGUUUCUACUCGAGUCUCGCUCUAAUCGGAUUCUCCCGGAGGACUCUUUUUCUCUCAACCUGAAUGACCCUGGCCAAGGAUUUGUUUGAGCAAGAACACAUGGGAUAUUCCUCUCAUGACGCCGAGAGUGGAUGAUCCUCUAUCGACACUCAAUAGCCCUAGUAAGGUCGACUACCACUCCCAAUGACCAGUUGUACUAGAUUUGGGACAGCCAAACCUAUAAGUCU